UUUCCGUAGGUGAACCUGCGGAAGAAUCAUUCACAAUAAGUGUUUUAUGGCACUUUUUUAAAUCCAUAUCCACCUUGUGUGCAAUGUCAGGGUUGGUCUCUUUUGAUCAGCUCCAAACAUCAACUAUUAUCUCAACUCUUUGUCUGAAAAAUAUUAUGAAUAAAACAAUUCAAAAUACAACUUUCAACAACGGAUCUCUUGGCUCUC
rnacentral:misc_RNA from 1 species